GACGAACGCUGGCGGCGUGCUUAACACAUGCAAGUCGAACGGAAAGGCCCUGCUUUUGUGGGGUGCUCGAGUGGCGAACGGGUGAGUAACACGUGAGUAACCUGCCCUUGACUUUGGGAUAACUUCAGGAAACUGGGGCUAAUACCGGAUAGGAGCUCCUGCUGCAUGGUGGGGGUUGGAAAGUUUCGGUGGUUGGGGAUGGACUCGGGGCUUAUCAGCUUGUUGGUGGGGUAGUGGCUUACCAAGGCAUUGACGGGUGGCCGGCCUGAGAGGGUGACCGGCCACAUUGGGACUGAGAUACGGCCCAGACUCCUACGGGAGGCAGCAGUGGGGAAUAUUGCACAAUGGGCGGAAGCCUGAUGCAGCAACGCCGCGUGCGGGAUGACGGCCUUCGGGUUGUAAACCGCUUUCGCCUGUGACGAAGCGUGAGUGACGGUAAUGGGUAAAGAAGCACCGGCUAACUACGUG
rnacentral:rRNA from 1 species